CGAUCACUUGCCAGGUAAGAAUGAGGAAAUCUUCGUCCGCCGUACACCUGAUAUACGAAAGCAGGGAUGAUUAUGGUGCUUCCGAUUUGGAUGCCAAGGAGGCCUUUGCUGAGCUAUUGAACGAAGCUAGGCAUACAUGAUUGGAUCGAACCUUGUCGCUUCCUCCACAAACGUAGAACAUGGAGAACGAUAUAUCCGCAAGAAGUUGUGGAAGAGUUCUCUAUUCUCAUGCUUGAAAUCUGCAAAGAAGAGCAACCCUAGAGUUCAGCCUGCAAUAUCAGAGAACAGUAUUGGGGAACUUGAGGUAGCGCAGCCAAUACCAGUCCUGCUUUCGGGUCUAUUCAAAUUAGCGCAAGGACGUUUGCUCAAAUUAUCUGACAGCAUAAUAUCAUGUGGUAUGGGACAGAUUGCAUCUCCUUGGGGGCCCCCUUACCUCUCAAAGCAGUUAUCGGUCUCUUCAAAUAUAUGGAGUCUGAAAUUAUUAAACUGACUGGCCCGUUCAGAUUGGUUGCAGAAAUUUAGGCUGUUGUUACUGAAAAUUUCUGGAAACAGUGCAUUUGGAUGAUUUAUGUUAUAUUGAUAAUUUUUAGUC